rnacentral:rRNA from 1 species
UACGUAGGUGGCGAACGUUAUCCGGAGUGACUGGGUGUAAAGGGUCCGUAGGCGGGAAGGCAAGUCUGAUGUGAAAGCGCCGGGCUCACCCCGGCGAGGUCAUUGGAAACUGCGUUUCUUGAAUCACGCAGAGGUCGGUGGAAUUCCCGGUGUAGUGGUGGAAUGCGUAGAGAUCGGGAGGAACCUCGAAAGCGAAGGCAGCCGACUGGGGGAUGAUUGACGCUGAGGGACGAAAGCGUGGGGAGCGAACAGG